GGGCGUAUGGUCUAGUGGUACGACGUCUCAGUUGCAAAAUAAGUCCAUUGCUUUGAAACUGUUCGAAUGAUGUAACAGGUGCAAGGUUACGGAUACAUAGCUCCUUGAGAAGGUCCCGGGUUCAAACCCCGGUACGUCCA